UACGGGGGGGUAAGCGUUGUUCGGAAUCACUGGGCGUAAAGGGUGCGUAGGUGGCAUGUUAAGUUUGAUGUGAAAGCUCAGGGCUCAACCCUGAAAUGGCAUUGAAUACUAGCGUGCUGGAGGUUUGGAGGGGGACUGGAAUUCUCGGUGUAGCAGUGAAAUGCGUAGAUAUCGAGAGGAACACCAGUGGCGAAGGCGAGUCCCUGGACAACACCUGACACUGAGGCACGAAAGCUAGGGGAGCAAACAGG
rnacentral:rRNA from 1 species